GACACAGUUCUUGUUGGCGAUGGA
rnacentral:siRNA from 1 species